rnacentral:tRNA from 1 species
AGUUAAAAAGCUUAUUGAAAAGCAAGUGUCUUGAAAACACAAGAAAGAAGUUUAAGUCUUCUAUUAACUU